GGAGGGUGCAAGCGUUGUUCGGAAUUACUGGGCGUAAAGCGCGUGUAGGCGGCUUGGCAAGUCGAGUGUGAAAUCCCAGGGCUCAACCCUGGAACUGCACCCGAAACUGCCUGGCUAGAGUCCCGGAGAGGGUGGCGGAAUUUCCGGUGUAGAGGUGAAAUUCGUAGAUAUCGGAAGGAACACCAGUGGCGAAGGCGGCCACCUGGACGGUGACUGACGCUGAGACGCGAAAGCGUGGGGAGCAAACAGGAUUAGAUACCCUGGUAGUCCACGCCGUAAACGUUGAGUGCUAGGCGUCGGGGGUAUUGACCCCCCUCCCGGUGCCGGAGUUAACGCAUUAAGCACUCCGCCUGGGGAGUACGGCCGCAAGGCUA
rnacentral:rRNA from 1 species